UUCACCUGUGGGUGAUGCCUAACAACUGAUAACCUCCUCCUGGGAUGGAGGAAUAUCCCACCUGGGGUGGAGAGCAGAAUACAGCAAACCUACAGUAUAUACAAAUCAGACUAGUUCAAAAGAGUAAGUUGAGAAAUAUUUUGUCCCAGUCAGUGUCUCUGGCAGAAAUAAAUAACGAAUUUUAAGUGUUCUGUGCCCUGAAGAGAGAGUAUAUGCUUUCAUUUUAAAGAAUAUUGAAAUAUUGUUUAGACUUAAAGCUGAAUACAGAGCAGGAUUGUACAUGAGCAGAAAUUAAUUUCAUCUUGUUGCUGGUCCCUCAUUAAGCAUGGUGGUUGCGUGUCUGUCCUGGUCCUGUUGUAGUGCUCAGGCUCUGUUGUAAGGUAAACUCACUGUGCGUAUGCAUGUGUGCGUUUUGAGGCAUGCUGUGCUCCCCAGAAAGCAGCUCUGAUCUCCCACUGACACCAGCGGGCAGGAGAAACGUGCAAAUCCAAGAAAAAUGCAAACUCUUGUGUCUGAUCUGCCCAUAGCACCCAGAAAUCAAAUAUUAACCUGAUUAUGAAUUCAGUGUUACAUGUAAGGCGGGGAAGAGCUGCAGGUGGUGACUGACAACUGGCUCGUGUUUGAUCUGGCAGUUUUCAUCUAUGCCACCAUUUUAUUCCUGCUGUGGGACUGCAGCAAAAUGGUGGCUCACUUGUUUUGAGCCUCGGUGAUGAAUCGGGAUCUCCUACUGGGGAGCUCCCCGUAUUGGAGCGGGGAAGGAGCUACAUAAAUCCUCAUCCCACGAGAAGAAUUAAGGAAUUUCAUUGUCCAGUGAGUCGUCCCCCUCCUCCCCCUCCCCGUGUGUUCUUUGGGUAGGGGAGGGAGAUAAUCUCUUUGGAGCAUAUGUACAGGAAUGCCUUGCUGUGAUGUAUCUAAGGCAGCUAAGUGCCAGGAUGGCUGCAUGGCUUUGAGCAGUCCCAACGUUUCCUCCUGUAGGCUCCAGGGUGAGCUUUACUUGAGGAUUUUGCCUGGAAGAGCCUGGAUGUGGAGGGAGUCUAGCACUCCUGGGGGUACCGCUGAGCUGGCUGGCCCUGGUCCUGGUGGCCUUGAGAGCAGGAACCCCUUGGAGCUGAUCAGGACCACACUUUGGGAGACCCUUUCCUAGCAGAGACUGCUGCAGCUCCUCUACUGACCCAGAAGUGUGUCAGCCCUUCACUGGCCAUUCCUGAAGUUCCCAGAGAAGGUUACGGCAAGGCUUUGUGCUACCCAGCGUGGAAAAGCUUUGGUCAGUGCUGGUUUCCUUGGCUGACCACAGUGAGUGCUGUCUGCCAGGCAUCUCCCAGGGCUAUCUCGAUCAUCUACCUGGGCCCUCCAGAUAGAUGACCUCCAGGAUGGACGUGGGGUGUUCAUUUCCCCGUCGGUGUCCUGCCACCUGAGGACAUGAUGUUUGACCAAUGCCUGAACCAGCAGUUGGCCUCUGACAACCAUGGAAAACAUCUGCAUUACUUCUGAGAGAAACUAUAUUUGACUUGGUUUCACCACCCUCUUAGGCAGGUUAGGUCUGAAGGAGUUAAUUUCUGCCCCGGGGUGGGACAAGAGGUGCUGUACUGGGCCCUGCUUUAGCCAGCCUCCGACAUGGAGCAUGUCUGGGUCCACCCAUUAACUUACUGAGAAUGGGCAGCACCUGAAUAGGGUUGCCUUGGGGAGAUGCUGGAAACCAACAGCUGAUACUAACUUUGAGCUACUGGGAACCAAAAAAGGCAGAUCAUAAGAAAGUGGCGUCAGUGGAGGUCAAAACAGGGACUAGUGUUGCUGGAUUCCUGUUAGACUGUCUCUGUGUUGUGCCACGGCCAUCACUGGCCAAAAAAACCUUUCUGAAUCAACUGAAGUGUCUCUCAAGGAACGUCUGAUCCUUGUUGUGACCUCAGACAAGUAAAACUGUAUGAGUCAAUAAUGCCUAGAACCCACUGCAUCCUGCCCAAGUACUUCUGUAGGAGUAGUUGCUCUGGAUGUGUUGUAUGUGUUCAUUUAUACAGUAAAUUGGAUGGAUUGUGGCAUGGAUUUGUCAGGCUUAGAAAUCACUUUCCACAACUCUGGACUGACUGGCAUAUUAGUAAUCCAUUGGGAUUUCUUGUUCACUGGUAAUUUAAAAAUGAUUUUUUUUGUGCUGGAAUGAGCUUCAGAACAAAACCUACUUCAACAAGGAUUUGGUUUUUUUUUCUGUUCUCAAGUUUUCUUCAUCCUUCAGCCUCACAGUUGUGCUUAAAACUGUUGUGUAUCGAUAAGAGUUUCCUUCCACCCAUAAUUUACUCUCUCCUUCUGUUCCCUGCUGUAAACAAGCCAUUAAAAAUGUGUUUAUGACAUCACAGUUGGUGACCAUGGAAAUGACUUUGAUGUUAGGAAGACAAAUAUAGCAUCGUGAUUUCACGGCAGGAUCAAGGCUAGAGAAGACCCUUGUUCAAAUGGCGGGUGGACAGAUUUGGGAGCUCAUAGUUUCCUACAUUUAUACUAAAGAUGCGUGGAAAAUAAAUUCAAACAACUAAAUCUACACGAUUUGUGCAUCAUCACUCACUUGUGGAGCACCUCAGCACAGCCUCAGCUGUCAGCAGGUUCACCCAAGGAGCCUGGGGAGAAGCCAACGUUUGGGGGAAAUUUGCAACCAUCUCUUGCAAACGAAGGGGGCGAAAUCUUAUGAGAUAAAAUGAUGGAGCCAAAGCGGUG